UUUCCGUAGGUGAACCUGCGGAAGGAUCAUUAAAAAAUUGGACUCCAUUGGUGAGUUCAUUAAUAAUCCUACCCUUUGUGAAUCUGUUUGUUUGAAUAAUUUUUUUUCCAAAAAAAAUUAUUGAAUGUCUUUCCUUGUUUUGGUGGAGCUUGUAAAGUGAGACCAGGCAGGGGAAUGGCAAACAAUAAUUAUUUUUGAAAAAGACCUUUUUUAAAAUUAAACUUUUUGUAUUCAUUUGUCUAAAAUUAUUUUUAUAAUAUAAAAACAACUUUUGACAAUGGAUCUCUUGGUUCUCGCAACGAUGAAGAACGCAGCAAAAUGCGAUAAGUAGUGUGAAUUGCAGAAUACGUGAAUCAUCGAAUCUUCGAACGCAUAUUGCACUUUUUUAGUUUACUAAAAAAGUAUGUCUGUUUGAGUAUCAGUAAAAUAUUCUCAUAAAAAAUUUAUUUUUUAUGGUUAUGAGUGUUUUACAACGAUAACAAGUUGUUUCACUUUAAAUUCUUUGUUAUCAAGAAAAUCAUUAAAAGCUAAUUUUAAAGAUUUUUUAAAAUUGGAUAAAAUUUUCCCGUAAAAAGGAAUAACCUAAACAAUUUUAAAAAAUUAAAAUUGGUUUGAUUUUUCUUGAUUUAAAAAGGAAAAAAAAGUAAAAAUUAACUUGAUCUCAAAUCAGAUAAGAGUACCCGCUGAACUUAAGCAUAUCAAUAAGCGGAGGAAAAGAAACUAACUAGGAUUCCCUCAGUAACGGCGAGUGAAGCGGGAAGAGCUCAAAUUUGAAAUCUUCAAGGUUUUACCUUGACGAAUUGUAGUUUAAAGAAGUGUUUUCUGUUGGAGUUUUGGUAAAAGUUCUUUGGAAAAGGACAUCAUAGAGGGUGAGAAUCCCGUAUUUGACCAUUAUCUCCAGCUUUGUGAUACACUUUCAAAGAGUCGGAUUGUUUGGGAAUGCAGUCCAAAAUGGGUGGUAAAUUUCAUCUAAAGCUAAAUACUGGCGAGAGACCGAUAGCGAACAAGUACCGUGAGGGCAAGAUGAAAAGAACUUUGAAAAGAGAGUUAAACAGUACGUGAAAUUGUCAAAAGGGAAGCGUUUGACACCAGUGUUGUUUUCUCGAAAAUCAAUUAAAAAAGGCCGGAUUUUGUGUUGUAUUGACUUUAUCAGCUUUCUGCACUUUUUUCUUGUCUUUUUUAAUGCACUUUUCGUUUAACAAGUCAACAUCAAUUUCUUUUGUUGUAAAAGGGUCAUUGGAAGGUGGCUUUCUUUACGGAGAAAGUGUUUAUAGCCUUUGGCCUCUGCAAUCGGAGAGAUUGAGGUCUGCAGCGUAGAUCCUUCGGGGUUAGAUACAUUUGUGCUAAGUUAUAGCCUUUCAUAGACAACUUGUUGACUAUGAUCAGUCAUGUAGCUUACUCGCUUAUGCUAUUU
rnacentral:misc_RNA from 1 species